rnacentral:piRNA from 1 species
UGCUUCUAGUCUUAGUUGAACUAUGGUUGCA